rnacentral:rRNA from 1 species
AUGUGUUCUUAUGAUGGUUUUACAAAGGCAGAAGUUGUGCCCGUUGUUUUCAUGCCGAUUUGGCUCCAAAUCCACAAGUUGCCAGAUGGUUUUUGCAAGGAAGGAAUUGUGGAACAGCUGCUAAAGAACUCAGGACAGAUACUGGAUAUGAGGCUUAACGGUAACACAAGAGGUGAUUAUGUCAGAAUCAGAGUCCGCCAUGAUGUUCGACGGCCCCUAACCAAGUUCGUGAGCACUAUCAGAGGGAAAGAACAUCAGGUGUACCUCGUUCGCUAUGAGAAACUUGCCCAUUUUUGUAGUGUGUGUGGCCUUAUUGGACAUGAUUGUAAGGAAUGUGGCACUGGGGUGCAUGAAGAAAAGAGCAAAAAAUAUGGUCCUUGGUUGUAUGCUGACGCACCAAAUAAAUUUUGGCCUAAUGAGCAGGUUGGAAUUGCAGGAGGGUCCCAACGUGAGAAGGAAGUUCCACAGUUGAAAGGUGCAUCAGCGAAAGGCUUAGCUGAUCCUGAGGUGUUGGAUGCAGCAACAAGUCAAUCCAAACUGGGUGUUGUCCCAAUGAUGCUGGAUCCCUCUAUCAGAAAGAGGCUUGCCUUGGGGGUACAGAACAAGGAGAAGGAGCAGAAUGAUUUGUCGGCACCUGGGGGUACUUUGGCCUUAACACAAGGAAAUGGUGAGGAUGGCGUGGAAAAUAAAUUGCCAAGUAGCAGUACUAGCAGCAAGUGUGCACGGAUUGGCAUUGAGGGUGUGUCUGGAGAUGUAUCAGCGUCCUCCCUAGAGGAGGACCAUCGGAUGCAAUGA